UACGAAGGGGGCUAGCGUUGCUCGGAAUUACUGGGCGUAAAGCGCACGUAGGCGGCUUUGUAAGUUAGAGGUGAAAGCCUGGUGCUCAACACCAGAACUGCCUUUAAGACUGCAUCGCUUGAAUCAUGGAGAGGCGGGUGGAAUUCCGAGUGUAGAGGUGAAAUUCGUAGAUAUUCGGAAGAACACCAGUGGCGAAGGCGGCCCGCUGGACAUGUAUUGACGCUGAGGUGCGAAAGCGUGGGGAGCAAACAGG
rnacentral:rRNA from 1 species